AAGAGGGCCAGGGGCUGCCUGUCCUCAACCCCUUGCUAAGAGCCUCCCUCUCAUGCUACUGAGGCCCAGUUAAUUAUAGCUCUGACCUAAGUGCCCUGUGACGCCACACCCGGGCCAGCACUGCCCAGGAGACCCAGCAACCAGCUGGAGCCUUCUGGCUGCCCCUGGCUCCAUCACUCACCAAGACCUGACUGAAGAGGCUGCACUCAAUGUCACCCUUGAGCUCUUUCUGGAACAGCCACCCCCAGGCCGACCGCACCUCCAUCUAGAGGACUACAGGGGUUUUCUUCCCGGAGGUUCAGAGCGGCUUUAGGAGAGGUGUCUCGUGCCAAUGCAGCCCAAGACUUCCUGCCAGCUUCCAAGAGCAACCCCGACCUGCACUUCGAUGCUGAACGGCUAGCCCUGCUGCAUACACCUCCCCUCUCAGACAUCUUCGUCUUCACUGACGCCUCCCCCAAGGACGCUUUUCUUACCAACCGGGUGGAAUCCCUGACUCGGGAGAGGCGCUGCAGGGUGAGCACAGUGUUAGCAACCUGAAUACGGGGAAAGAGGGCGUCCUCACGAAAGGUCACCCCACAUCUUUAACAUGCUCCAGAGUGGGAGGCCACGCCCUUAGCAAAACUGAACUGAGCAUACUGAUCGGGUCCAAUAAACUAUUCAAAG
rnacentral:lncRNA from 1 species